GAUGAACGCUGGCGGCGUGCCUAAUACAUGCAAGUCGAGCGAACAGACGAGGAUCUUGCUCCUCUCACGUUAGCGGCGGACGUGUGAGUAACACGUGGAUCACCUACCUAUAAUACUGGGAUCAUUUCGGGAAACCGGCUCUAAUCCCGGAUAAUAUAUUGAACCGCAUGGUUCAAUAGUGAAAGACGGUUUUGCUGUCACUUAUAGAUGGUUCCGCGCCGCAUUAGCUAGUUGGUAAGGUAACGGCUUAUCAAGGCAACGAUGCGUAGCCGACCUGAGAGGGUGAUCGGCCACACUGGAACUGAGACACGGUCAAGACUCCUAAGGGAGGCAGCAGUAGGGAAUCGUCCGCAAUGGGCGAAAGCUUGACGGAGCAACGCCGAGUGAGUGAUGAAGGUCUUCGGAUCGUAAAAAUCUGUUAUGAGGGAAGAACAAAUGUGUAAGUAACUAUGCACGGCGUGACGGUACCUAAUCAGAAAGCCACGGCUAACUACGUG
rnacentral:rRNA from 1 species